rfam:Candidatus Photodesmus blepharus strain Ppalp.1 contig6, whole genome shotgun sequence.
GUCAUUCUUCAUUUAGUUCCUUGCUUCCUUUUUAAAAUGGCCGAUUUAGUUUUGGAAGCUAAAUAACCCGUAAGGAGCAAAUAUG